UAAGUCAGUAGUGAAUGACGAGGCUCAACCUCGUGUCCAUUACUGAACUGCUAAGCUAGAGAAUGAGAGAGGUCGCUGGAAUUCCCUGUGUAGGAGUGAAAUCCGUAGAUAUAGGGAGGAACACCGAUGGCGUAGGCAGGUGACUGGCUCAUUUCUGACACUAAGGCACGAAAGCGUGGGAGCAAACGGGAUUAGAUACCCCGGUAGUCCACGCCGUAAACUAUGGAUACUA
rnacentral:rRNA from 1 species